UACGGGGGGUGCGAGCGUUGUCCGGAAUCACUGGGCGUAAAGGGCGCGUAGGUGGUUUGAUAAGGGUGUGGUGAAAGUCCGGGGCUCAACCCCGGAUCUGCCGUGCCGACUGUCAAACUCGAGGGCUGUAGAGGCAGACGGAAUUCCAGGUGUAGCGGUGAAAUGCGUAGAUAUCUGGAGGAACACCGGUGGCGAAGGCGGCAUUCUGGACCGACAUUGACGCUGAGGAGCGAAAGCCAGGGGAGCAAACGGG
rnacentral:rRNA from 1 species